rnacentral:tRNA from 1 species
UCCCGGGUCGUCUAGAGGCAGGACAGCACCCUUUGAAGGUGUGUACGGAGGUUCGAAUCCUCCCCCGGGAG